CCAAUAGCGUAUAUUAAAGUUGUUGCAGUUAAAAAGCUCGUAGUUGAAUUUCGGGAUCAGACUGUCGGUCGUGCCUCGGUACGCACUGGCAUUAUUGGUUCCUACCUUCUGAAGAACCGCGAUGUCAUUAAUUUGGUGUCGUGGGGAAUCAGGACUGUUACUUUGAAAAAAUUAGAGUGUUUAAAGCAGGCGCACGCUUGAAUACAUUAGCAUGGAAUAAUGAAAUAGGACGUUUGAUUCUAUUUUGUUGGUUUCUAGGAUCGACGUAAUGAUUAAUAGGGAUAGUUGGGGGCAUUAGUAUUCAAUUGUCAGAGGUGAAAUUCUUGGAUUUAUUGAAGACUAACUACUGCGAAAGCAUUUGCCAAGGAUGUUUUCAUUAAUCAAGAACGAAAGUUAGGGGAUCGAAGACGAUCAGAUACCGUCGUAGUCUUAACCAUAAACUAUGCCGACUAGGGAUCGGAUGAUGUUAAUUUUUUAAUGACUCAUUCGGCGCCUUACG
rnacentral:rRNA from 1 species